rnacentral:tRNA from 2 species
AAGUAAGAAGCGAAUUAUUGCAAUCAGUUUCGACCUGAAAAAUUGGUAUUAAUUAUACCCUUAUUUA